AGGAUGAACGCUAGCUACAGGCUUAACACAUGCAAGUCGAGGGGCAUCAGUUUGGUUUGCUUGCAAACCAAAGCUGGCGACCGGCGCACGGGUGAGUAACACGUAUCCAACCUACCUCAUACUCGGGGAUAGCCUUUCGAAAGAAAGAUUAAUAUCCGAUAGCAUAUAUUUCCCGCAUGGGUUUUAUAUUAAAGAAAUUCGGUAUGAGAUGGGGAUGCGUUCCAUUAGUUUGUUGGGGGGGUAACGGCCCACCAAGACUACGAUGGAUAGGGGUUCUGAGAGGAAGGUCCCCCACAUUGGAACUGAGACACGGUCCAAACUCCUACGGGAGGCAGCAGUGAGGAAUAUUGGUCAAUGGACGCGAGUCUGAACCAGCCAAGUAGCGUGAAGGAUGACUGCCCUAUGGGUUGUAAACUUCUUUUAUAUGGGAAUAAAGUGGUCCACGUGUGGACUUUUGUAUGUACCAUAUGAAUAAGGAUCGGCUAACUCCGUGCCAGCAGCCGCGGUAAUACGGAGGAUCCGAGCGUUAUCCG
rnacentral:rRNA from 1 species